UUAUGCGGCCCGCCGGCCUAUGAAUGAAAACCCUAAAUCAAAUUAAGCAAAAAAAAAUGGAGUUCAACUCUCCUCUUCCUUCAGCGGCAGCGACGCCUGAGGUUCUUCGAAAUCUCUGUAACAGUGGGAGUUAUGAGCUAUGCCGGAGCUUCACCGUGGAGUCUUUGUGGCCAGGUUAUUCAGAUGGUGUCCGUCGUAUAUCUGAAUCAUCUUACAUACAAGAAACAUAGGAGCGCAACAAAAGGGUUGCUAGCGAUUAGUAAAAAUAGCGGUGGCUCCAACAAGGAGGCUGCACAUGAAGAAGAAGGGAAUACUCCUCCUUUCCCUAAAAGGGUUGAGAAAGCUGAGAAAAGGUGGUUUUGGACAAGUGUUUGUGGGACGGUGUAUUAGUGGUGGUAAUGAACAAAAUACAUGAGCUAGCAUCUUAAAGUUGCUCUGAAGUUUGAGCAUCGAACCAGCACGGAGUUGAAGAAGACGUGUUCACCCUGAGCGGGAACAUUCCAUCUCGCCGACCACAAAAGAGGACACUGACCUUCCAGAAACAUCUCGAUGCAAGUCACCAGAUGUUCGACGAGAGCACACAAUUUUACAAAGAAAUAUAUCGUUUUAGUCUCCCACCAGGGAUGUCUACGGUGUUGGAGAUUUCAGUUGUAGAUGGUGCUGCAGCAAACAGGUAAAUAACUCAUUUUAUAAGUUAGUUCAAAGCUUCUCAUAUCACUACUUAUUCUUCUCAGUUUUUUUUUAAAUCAAAAUUUAUUUGUUCCCGAGUUUUACCUUUUUUUUACUUAUGAUGAAAAACUUACAUUAUAACUCAUCUUAUAAAGCGGUAGAUGCAAUCGAUCUUCUUAAAAAUUUUGAAUACAUCUUCAGCUGUGACCUCUUUGAUUGUGUGGAAGAAAGCAUUGGUUCGUUUAUGUAUAUAAGGUUCACCUUCGGUAAAUCGGCGGGGUCCCAAGGAAGCUGGGCCUGCGCUUCCAGCAAACGUUAAUGGUUACACCUCCUCUAUAUCCUAAUAAGUCAUUUAGAUUUUUUUUCUGCAAUUGCUUAUGUCCCAGGUUUAGGCUCUAAUACUAUCUAAAGUAAGGUAGGCUCUAAUUGACACCACUAGGAUUUCAAGGGGGAGAUGUCAAACUGAGACGCUCUCCUAGAUGGUUAACUGAACCAUAGCGAUGCUCUGAUGGCAUAGCGAACAGCCACAAAAGCAGUGGUUCGGAUUUAGGAAGCAUUUAGAGAUAAUGCACUGAAGUCGGCACACUCAAAGGUCAUCCAUUUUGCCAACAUGGAAGAAGAGGACAGGAGCAUAGGAUGAAGAUAUAGAACGCAUUCCUCAAAUACGAUAUGCAUAGCAAUGUUAAAACUUGUCCGGAUUCACAGUCGUUUCCAAACAUGGAAUAUUCAAAGAGUUCCUCAAUAUGUGGGGUCAACAAUUUUGUAUUCAGGUCAGUAGUGAUAUAGUUAUACACAACAUGUAAUAGCGUUGACUUUAUAAGUUUUCUUUCAAGUAUGCAACCCA